rnacentral:misc_RNA from 1 species
CAGAACCAAACAACUCUGACACAAUCUCGAGCCCAACACAAUCUCCACCUCAAACAACUCUGGGUCAAAGAGAAAAUUUCACAUCUACCACACAGCAAGUGCGAACAGACAACAUUCCAAAUUAGAGCCUAAAAGGCAGAGUACAUAACAUUAACACAAUCUCAAGACAAUUAAAACAUCUCUUCUUUUUAUCCUUAUUAAUAGUUCCCUAACCUCUAAAAGAGGAAAAUCUGACACAACCGUACAAACUAAUCUUCGGCAAAAUCAACAUUAAGCUAAAUCUUCACAUCUUCAAUAGUUCCUUCUUUUACACUGUCUUUGAUUUUAGAGGCUUUUUCUCGAGUUGUCUCCUUGGAACUGAGUUCUUCAUGCCAAUGAAG